rnacentral:rRNA from 1 species
AUGUUCUGCUCCUUGCGGCGGUUGCCCGCGCAGACGAGCGUGACGGGGAGCUCCGCGGCGGGGAACUCCCGGACCAGCUCGUCCAUGGUGAACCGCGCGGGCCGGGUGACGAGGCCGGAGACCUCGACGGUCCAGGUGGACCAGUCGCCGCGGGGCACGGGGCCGUGGUUCCGCACGUAG